UACGAAGGGGGCUAGCGUUGCUCGGAAUGACUGGGCGUAAAGGGCGCGUAGGCGGCUUGUAUAGUCGGAUGUGAAAUUCCUGGGCUUAACCUGGGGGGCUGCAUACGAGACGUAUGGGCUUGAGUGCGGAAGAGGGUCGUGGAAUUCCCAGUGUAGAGGUGAAAUUCGUAGAUAUUGGGAAGAACACCAAUGGCGAAAGCACUCUGCUGGGCCGACACUGACACUGAGAGACGAAAGCUAGGGGAGCAAAUGGG
rnacentral:rRNA from 1 species